CACGUAGGGCGCAAGCGUUGUCCGGAAUUAUUGGGCGUAAAGAGCUCGUAGGCGGUCUGUUGCGUCCGCUGUGAAAACUCGGGGCUUAACCCCGAGCCUGCAGUGGAUACGGGCAGACUAGAGGUAGGUAGGGGAGAAUGGAAUUCCCGGUGUAGCGGUGAAAUGCGCAGAUAUCGGGAGGAACACCGGUGGCGAAGGCGGUUCUCUGGGCCUUACCUGACGCUGAGGAGCGAAGGCGUGGGGAGCGAACGGG
rnacentral:rRNA from 1 species